AUGGUAGAAGGCUUUGCUAAUCAUGGAAAUCAGCAGAGGUGGGAAGGAACUGAGUACAUGCAAAAGUGGUUCAUCUUUUCAACCAGAUCCCACUUGUCCUAUUUCCCACCUCUCCAGCAGAGGGCAAUAGUAACACAGUAUCAAGUCAACUCCAGCCUUAGUGCUGACAGCCAAGUAUCAGAUGGUGAAAUUAUCCUCACUCAGUCUCCAAUAUCCAUGACCACCUCACCAGGGGAGAAGGUCACUAUUACCUGCAGAGCCAGCUCAAGUGCAAGUUCCAAUUACUUCCACUGGUACCAGCAAAAGCCAGGAGCCUCCCCUACACUCCUUGUUCAUGGAACAUCCAACCUGGCUUCUGGAGUCCCAGCUCGCUUCAGUGGCAGUGGGUCUGGGACCUCUUACUCUCUCACAAUCAGCAGCAUGGAGGCUGAAGAUGCUGCCACUUACUACUGUCAGCAGAAGAGCAGUGAACCAUUCACACAGUUCUACAAAGCAGAACAAAAACCACUUUGGUCUUCUCAGACACCACUGCUUCCCUCUUAGAAGAUAACACAUGGUCAAGAUUUUGACUGAGUUGUGACAAAAAUCUCCAAAUAUUUCUGCGAUAGAAGCAGGGUCAAAUUUCACUCAAGGGCAUUAAGACACUUCUCCUGGCAAAAAAGAGGAAACUAUAUAAAUGGAGAUAGUGGGAUGAGAUAACCAGAGACCCAUCUUUUUUGUAUUCUGUACAGAGAACUAUUUUAGAGCUGUGGUUUAAAUUUCCUGGACUGGGAAUUGACUCUGGAGAGGAUGUCAUUGGGCUUUUGAGAAUAUUUGCAGGGCUGUGCGAGUCACAUUUUUAUAACUGUUUCCAAUGUAGGGCUAACCAACUGCUGUCCCCCAGAGAAUUCCUUCAUCAGAGAAUGGUUUAUGGCUUGGUCUCAAGUGGGAAGAACUAACACUGAACUCAUAGUUCUCUAUCAUCUCUUCAUGGUGAAGGAAAUACUGAUGAUAGUAUCUUUCUGACUAUUUGUAGAGUGUGAAGCACUGUGGA